AGACUCUGAAUUCCUCUGUACACUUGGGUGCAAGAAAUGUCCACACUUCCCUCCAGCUUCUGGGAACUCAUCUUCUCCGGUUUGGGGCAUAGCUGUCUCCCCUGUGAAGCAUCGCCUUCCAUCUCUUCCCUUUUUAGGAGGACUUCAGCUUCUCUUCUUGAAGAGCCAAGAACUCUCACAGUCCUGGUUGGGGCUUUUUCCAGGAUAGUUUUUUGUUGUUGUUGUUGUUAAGAUUUUAUAUUUUUUCCCUUUUUCUCCUCAAGCCCCCCAGUGCAUAGUUGUAUAUAUUUUUAGUUGUGGGUCUUUCCAGUUGUGGCAUGUGGGAUGCCGCCUCAGCAUGGCUUGAUGAGCAGUGCUGCGUCUGCGCCCAGGAACCAAACUGCUGAAACCCUUGGCCGUAGAAGCGGAGCGCAUAAACUUAACCACUCGGCUGCAGGGCCGGCCUGACCCCUCCAGGAUAGUCUUUGAAACGCAAAGAAGCUCUUAAAGUUCUUACACCUGAGCAUAACAGGAUCCUGAGCCUCAGGACAAAAAGCCAACGUUCUGUCCAGAGAGGAAAAGGUGGGGAAAAUUGCCCUUUCCUUCUAUCAAGUAAGUCUCCACCAUAAAUAAAAACAGGGCACAAAUGACCACGUCAGUGAUCUAUCCUGUUCCACAGUCCUGGGUUCCAAAUCCCCCCUCUGCAACCAACCACAGGGGAAACCUGGCAAAAUGACGCCACAGUCCUCUCAGCCCUGGUUUCUUCAAUUACAAAAUGGUGCCGAUACCAAUCAUACAAGGAUGUCGUCGUUAGUAAAUGAAAUUAGUUUUUUUUAAAGCUCGAUACCUAAGGUCCUAAUAAGUGUAUUGUCUUUUCUUUCUUCCUACAGGAGGAAUUACCUGGUAGCACGGAAGUAUGAACAUCUGAAUUAGGUGGUCCGGGUGACAGAGCUCUGAGAACAGUGAUGCACUUUGCCAGAUUUUUUUUUUAAGUGAGGAAGAUUUGCCCUGAGUUAACAUCUGUUGCAAGCCUCCUCUUUUUUUGCUUGAAGAAGAUUAACCCUGAACUAACGUCUGUGCCAGUCUUCCUCUGUUUUGUAUGGGAUGCCUCCACA
rnacentral:lncRNA from 1 species